AUCUCUGUUCCUCUGCAGUUUUGUUGUUGAGUCAUACGUUGCUUUGUAUGGGAUUAAACUCUGUAAUUCUGUGACGUCAACACGCAUUGUUGUUUUUCCUUGUGGCCGCACGUCGCCCGCUGAGAGUACCUGGGAUCUAGAGGAAGAGAGAGCGAAACUUUUUUCCAAAGUUAAUUUAUAAAUUAUUCUUCCUUAACAUUUGGGGGCUCGUGCCGGUUCUGGAAUUUUGGCGGGUGGCUGUUCGUCCCGGAUCGAUCUGUUUCGGCCCGACGGUUCGGUGCGGUAAGACACUAUUUAAUUACUUUUUGGUCGUCUGCAGCGCCGUGUGGCCGGGCCAGAGCUGAUAGUUGUCGGUGUGUGCGGCCACACAUAGUUUAGAAGCUACAGAGGUAUAUAGAUUUUUCCUAAAAGAGUCUGUUGUUUAGAAAUUUGAAUAAAUACACAUUACAGGGGAUAGUGGCGGAUCCAGGCAGAAGGAGUUUACGUUACCUCUGUCCUAAAGCUGGGUUUCUUAUUUAUGUUCUUUUCCCGGAGGAUCAAUGCCUGGGCCUCUUUAAAAAAGAAUUUUGGAAGUUGUGUAUUCAGGUAGUUUGGGCUUGAAUCAGCCCGGAGAUUUUGACUCAUCUCCAGUGGACUUAUAAUUGGACCGAGUUGUAUCACUCGUGGAAAACAAAGGACUAAAAUAGGUUGUAUCACCUUUUUCUGUGGUAGAAAAUUAAGGACUAAGAGUGCAGUUGGGAAAAUGAUACAUCUUACAUUCUUGUUGCCGGCGCCUUAUUUUUUAUUUUUUCCUCUCUGUUUUUUACAUUUGUCUGAAACUGUGUUUGUGUUCUCUGUAUUUCUCUCUCUGUGUGUGUGUGUGCUGAUUGCUCUGAGUGGAACGUUGUGUUUGAAAAGCGCUGUUUGUGUGGAUUUGAGUUUAUUUUUGCUGCAUUUUUAUUGUAAAGUUAUUUUGGACACUGAGUUGCAAAAGAUGUUAUAGGCCAUUCCUAUGGUCAGGGUCCGUGGAAAACUCUGGCGGGGACUGAAUGGUAAAGUAAUUCUUCCUCCAAAUAUGAGAAUCCAGGUUCUUCAGGAAGCUCACGGACUCGGACAGAUCCUGGCAGUGGAAGUUCAAAAAUACCAGACGACACAGGAACGUCUAGGCUCAGGACCAGUUCCAGGAAUCGACUGGGUGCGCCUGAAGGUCAUCAAAAGAAAGUGGUCUGAACCUCGCUUCACCGGACCAUACAGAGUCGUGGAGAGGACGUCUCAUGCUGUCCGUCUACAAGGGAAAGGAGACACCUGGUUCCAUUGGAGUCAGUGCACAGCAGCCGAGGAGCCACAACGCGCGCUCCGAGACAUACAAGAAGAUCUGCAGCUUCAAUCUUCGGACGAGGAGCAUCUCCAGGCACUUCCAGGAACCGAGGAGGAUCUGCAGUUCCAGGAGGGAGUGUAGCAGGGAUUCCUGCCACGACCACUUCAUAUUCCUGAAAUUCAAGGCUUAAAAGGCUCGAACAGGCACAAUAAUCCUGUUCCGAUGUCCUUUCAUUGAGAAAAGGAGAUUUCACCCUCUCCUUAAAACUCACUGUUAUAUUGGCAUAAUAAUCCAAUUUUCAGUGAGCGACGGACGCUCAGGUGGAAACCUGAGGUUUACAACCGAGGAGGAAGACGGGUACACGAAGGAUCAGGCUACAGGAGGAUCAACAUUAACUUCUCUUUUUAUUGCGUGUUUUCGUUUUUGCGAACUCUAAAAGAACUUCUGUUUCUUUUUUGCGCGUAUUUUUUGAUCAUUUCCUGACGAAGACUUCAUAUUUUGUUUUUUGUGGGACUAUCAAAGGACAUUGAAUUGAGAAGAAAAAAAAAAAAAAGUAUUUUGUAAUUUUUAUGUGUUUAUGAUUUUUUGACAAAUUGUAAUUUUGUGGCGAAUAUUGUCUUUUAAGUUUGCAGAGCAUUUCUUAGUAAUUUUUAUAUAUAUAUCGUUGUCUUAUUUUUUGCAUUUUCUACUUUGGGCUGUUGUUUGUACUGUGUUUUUGGUUGUAUUGUGAUAAUUGAGUUUUAUGAUUUUUCAUAUUUUUAAAAUGAUAGGUAUUUCUUACUCUUAGUUUUUACUGUUUAAAUAGGGGGACUGUUAUAUAAUUAGGCUACUCUUUUAGUUUUUUUUUUAGUAUACUACAUAGUUUUUGGUUCCUCUAUUAGAAGGCUUAAUCAAUUUUUUGUGAGGUCUGUGUGUCUCAGACCUCAAAAGGGGGACUGUUGAGGAAAAAUGA